GCGCUUUACUGAUUGCAUCCCCCUGGUGGCUUCACUCCUCUGUCUUCUGUAUUUCCUAAGAGAGAACUGAGGUCCAGAGAAGAUGCAGUCAGGGAUACUUCCUGGCAAAAUUGAGAUGAAUGAAGUUUGUCUCUGAGCCCUUCCCACUUUACUUUCCAUGUCCUCUCUCUCCUCAUUUGGUACUGUCUGUCCUCCUCUAUCCUCAGGCAGCUGUCAGGGAGAAAAUGAUCUGUGUGUCUAAUUUAUACUAAAGUGAAAAUGAUUGAUAUGACUAUCAGUCAUUCUUUACAUUUCUGUAAUGGACAAUUCCUGAUCCAAAGGGAUGAAACUUACUGGCCCAACUGCAGACAGUCCCGUACCUCUUUCUAAAGCCUCACCUCCUCGUACUCAUGUGUUUUUGCUCCUCCCCCUCUCCCUGUCUUGUGAAUUUCUGGUUCUACCACAUCACAUACCUCAGCAGCUCAUCAGAACUUCAGAGGUGAUCACAGCCACCCAAUGCAGGGUAAGAUAGAGUGAAACCCCCAAUGACAGGAAUUACAAGUGAUGGGGAGUUCACCACCUUUAAGGCAGCCCAUUCUAUUGCUCUGACUGAUGCUGAAACUUCUGUCCAUUAGCCCGUUUCACCCUUCUCUGCCUUCUCGAGCCAGAGUCAAAUGCAGUAACCUUGUCCCCUUUCACAUCAUAACCCUUAAAUAAAGGACUUUGUGUUCCCCAAAUAAAGACCUCUAGACUUGCUAUUCCUGUGUCCAGGAUGUACUUUCCUCCCUCUGAGCCUUUGCUCUUUCUCACUUCUCUGUGCCCUCUCCCUUCAAGGUCGCUUUCCAGUCUGAGAUUAUACCUUGCUCUUGGUUUAUUUGUAGAACAAAUAUGAUGGACAGCACCCCAAGCCCAGUGGAUUUGUGGUGGUUCUCAAAAAUUCCCUGGAGGAAUGGGUUUGGAGAGUGCUGUCUGCAUUAACUAAAUUAUAAUAGGCAAUGUUCAUUGAGAGCUCUCUAUGUGCCUGCCAUACCCUGUUAGAAGGAGAUAUUACCUAAUAUAGUCCUCCCAGUGAUGCCAUGAAGUGGGCUCUUUCAUCAUCCCCACUUAUGGAUGGAAAAACUGAGGCACAGGGACAUUUUGUAAUGUUCCCAAGGUCCAAUAGCUAAAAGUAAUGGAGGAUUUAAAUCCAGGUCUUCAAAUUUUAUAGACCAUACUCUGAUUACCAGGAUCUGCUAAAUGUAUGAUGCUGCCGCCACUGCCUGCCUGCACACACACACACACGCGCGUGCACACACAC